GGGUUGUGAGGUUAAGCGACUAAGCGUACACGGUGGAUGCCUAGGCAGUCAGAGGCGAUGAAGGGCGUGCUAAUCUGCGAAAAGCGUCGGUAAGGUGAUAUGAACCGUUACAACCGACGAUACCCGAAUGGGGAAACCCAGUGCAAUUCGUUGCACUAUUGCAUGGUGAAUACAUAGCCAUGCAAGGCGAACCGGGGGAACUGAAACAUCUAAGUACCCCGAGGAAAAGAAAUCAACCGAGAUUCCCCUAGUAGCGGCGAGCGAACGGGGAGGAGCCCAGAGUCUGAAUCAGUUUGUGUGUUAGUGGAAGCGUCUGGAAAGUCGCACGGUACAGGGUGAUAGUCCCGUACACAAAAACACACUUGCUGUGAACUCGAUGAGUAGGGCGGGACACGUGACAUCCUGUCUGAAUAUGGGGGGACCAUCCUCCAAGGCUAAAUACUCCUGACUGACCGAUAGUGAACCAGUACCGUGAGGGAAAGGCGAAAAGAACCCCGGCGAGGGGAGUGAAAUAGAACCUGAAACCGUGUACGUACAAGCAGUGGGAGCACCUUCGUGGUGUGACUGCGUACCUUUUGUAUAAUGGGUCAGCGACUUAUAUUUUGUAGCAAGGUUAACCGAAUAGGGGAGCCGUAGGGAAACCGAGUCUUAACUGGGCGUCUAGUUGCAAGGUAUAGACCCGAAACCCGGUGAUCUAGCCAUGGGCAGGUUGAAGGUUGGGUAACACUAACUGGAGGACCGAACCGACUAAUGUUGAAAAAUUAGCGGAUGACUUGUGGCUGGGGGUGAAAGGCCAAUCAAACCGGGAGAUAGCUGGUUCUCCCCGAAAGCUAUUUAGGUAGCGCCUCGUGAACUCAUCUUCGGGGGUAGAGCACUGUUUCGGCUAGGGGGUCAUCCCGACUUACCAAACCGAUGCAAACUCCGAAUACCGAAGAAUGUUAUCACGGGAGACACACGGCGGGUGCUAACGUCCGUCGUGAAGAGGGAAACAACCCAGACCGCCAGCUAAGGUCCCAAAGUCAUGGUUAAGUGGGAAACGAUGUGGGAAGGCAUAGACAGCCAGGAUGUUGGCUUAGAAGCAGCCAUCAUUUAAAGAAAGCGUAAUAGCUCACUGGUCGAGUCGGCCUGCGCGGAAGAUGUAACGGGGCUAAACCAUGCACCGAAGCUGCGGCAGCGACACUUAGGUGUUGUUGGGUAGGGGAGCGUUCUGUAAGCCGUUGAAGGUGACCUGUGAGGGUUGCUGGAGGUAUCAGAAGUGCGAAUGCUGACAUAAGUAACGAUAAUGCGGGUGAAAAACCCGCACGCCGGAAGACCAAGGGUUCCUGUCCAACGUUAAUCGGGGCAGGGUGAGUCGACCCCUAAGGCGAGGCUGAAAAGCGUAGUCGAUGGGAAACAGGUUAAUAUUCCUGUACUUGGUGUUACUGCGAAGGGGGGACGGAGAAGGCUAGGCUAGCCGGGCGACGGUUGUCCCGGUUUAAGCAUGUAGGCGGAGUGACUUGGUAAAUCCGGUUGCUUAUCAACGCUGAGGUGUGAUGACGAGUCACUACGGUGAUGAAGUAGUUGAUGCCAAGCUUCCAGGAAAAGCCUCUAAGCAUCAGGUAACAUUAAAUCGUACCCCAAACCGACACAGGUGGUCAGGUAGAGAAUACUCAGGCGCUUGAGAGAACUCGGGUGAAGGAACUAGGCAAAAUGGUGCCGUAACUUCGGGAGAAGGCACGCUGGCAUUAGGUAAAGAGACUUGCUCUCGGAGCUGAAGCCAGUCGCAGAUACCAGCUGGCUGCAACUGUUUAAUAAAAACACAGCACUGUGCAAACACGAAAGUGGACGUAUACGGUGUGACGCCUGCCCGGUGCUGGAAGGUUAAUUGAUGGGGUCAGCCGCAAGGCGAAGCUCUUGAUCGAAGCCCCAGUAAACGGCGGCCGUAACUAUAACGGUCCUAAGGUAGCGAAAUUCCUUGUCGGGUAAGUUCCGACCUGCACGAAUGGCGUAAUGAUGGCCAGGCUGUCUCCACCCGAGACUCAGUGAAAUUGAACUCGCUGUGAAGAUGCAGUGUACCCGCGGCAAGACGGAAAGACCCCGUGAACCUUUACUAUAGCUUGACACUGAACAUUGAGCCUUGAUGUGUAGGAUAGGUGGGAGGCAUUGAAGUGUGGACGCCAGUCUGCAUGGAGCCAACCUUGAAAUACCACCCUUUAAUGUUUGAUGUUCUAACUCGGCCCCGUAAUCCGGGGUGAGGACAGUGUCUGGUGGGUAGUUUGACUGGGGCGGUCUCCUCCCAAAGAGUAACGGAGGAGCACGAAGGUUAGCUAAUCACGGUCGGACAUCGUGAGGUUAGUGCAAAGGCAUAAGCUAGCUUGACUGCGAGAGUGACGGCUCGAGCAGGUACGAAAGUAGGUCUUAGUGAUCCGGUGGUUCUGAAUGGAAGGGCCAUCGCUCAACGGAUAAAAGGUACUCCGGGGAUAACAGGCUGAUACCGCCCAAGAGUUCAUAUCGACGGCGGUGUUUGGCACCUCGAUGUCGGCUCAUCACAUCCUGGGGCUGAAGUAGGUCCCAAGGGUAUGGCUGUUCGCCAUUUAAAGUGGUACGCGAGCUGGGUUUAGAACGUCGUGAGACAGUUCGGUCCCUAUCUGCCGUGGGCGUUGGAAGAUUGAGAGGGGCUGCUCCUAGUACGAGAGGACCGGAGUGGACGAAUCACUGGUGUUCGGGUUGUCAUGCCAAUGGCAUUGCCCGGUAGCUAAAUUCGGAAGAGAUAACCGCUGAAAGCAUCUAAGCGGGAAACUUGCCUCGAGAUGAGUCUUCCCUGGGGCUUUAAGCCCCCUGAAGGAACGUUAAAGACUAUGACGUUGAUAGGCUGGGUGUGUAAGUGCAGCGAUGCAUUGAGCUAACCAGUACUAAUGAUCCGUGAGGCUUAACCUUACAACACCAAAGGUGUUUUG
rnacentral:rRNA from 1 species